UAGGGAAUCUUCGGCAAUGGGGGGAACCCUGACCGAGCAACGCCGCGUGAGUGAAGAAGGUUUUCGGAUCGUAAAGCUCUGUUGUUAAGGAAGAACGAGUGUGAGAAUGGAAAGUUCAUACUGUGACGGUACUUAACCAGAAAGGGACGGCUAACUACGUGCCAGCAGCCGCGGUAAUACGUAGGUCCCGAGCGUUGUCCGGAUUUAUUGGGCGUAAAGCGAGCGCAGGCGGUUAGAUAAGUCUGAAGUUAAAGGCAGUGGCUCAACCAUUGUAGGCUUUGGAAACUGUUUAACUUGAGUGCAGAACGGGAGAGUGGAAUUCCAUGUGUAGCGGUGAAAUGCGUAGAUAUAUGGAGGAACACCGGUGGCGAAAGCGGCUCUCUGGUCUGUACCUGACGCUGAGGCUCGAAAGCGUGGGGAGCGAACAGG
rnacentral:rRNA from 1 species